rnacentral:rRNA from 1 species
UACAGAGGGUGCAAGCGUUAAUCGGAAUUACUGGGCGUAAAGCGUGCGUAGACGGUUAUGUAGGUCAGAUGUGAAAGCCCCGGGCUUAACCUGGGAAUGGCAUUUGAGACUGCAUAGCUAGGGUGCGGAAGAGGGAAGCGGAAUUUCCGGUGUAGCGGUGAAAUGCGUAGAUAUCGGAAGGAACACCAGUGGCGAAAGCGGCUUCCUGGUCCAGCACCGACGUUCAGGCACGAAAGCGUGGGGAGCAAACAGG